rnacentral:rRNA from 1 species
UAGGGAAUCUUCCACAAUGGACGCAAGUCUGAUGGAGCAACGCCGCGUGAGUGAAGAAGGUUUUCGGAUCGUAAAGCUCUGUUGUUGGUGAAGAAGGAUAGAGGUAGUAACUGGCCUUUAUUUGACGGUAAUCAACCAGAAAGUCACGGCUAACUACGUGCCAGCAGCCGCGGUAAUACGUAGGUGGCAAGCGUUGUCUGGAUUUAUUGGGCGUAAAGCGAGCGCAGGCGGAAGAAUAAGUCUGAUGUGAAAGCCCUCGGCUUAACCGAGGAACUGCAUCGGAAACUGUUUUUCUUGAGUGCAGAAGAGGAGAGUGGAACUCCAUGUGUAGCGGUGGAAUGCGUAGAUAUAUGGAAGAACACCAGUGGCGAAGGCGACUCUCUGGUCUGCAACUGACGCUGAGGCUCGAAAGCAUGGGUAGCGAACAGG